GAGUGUGCUGUGACCUCCUGCGUGGCCUCGUCCCUGGUCUUAGUUUCCACCGGGCAGUGGGAGUCAGGACCGCCUGUCCUCAGGCCCCUCCUCAGCGACUGUAGCGGCUGCAGGUUGCACGCCAGGGCCUGUACUUACCACCACCACGUGCCACGGGACUCUAAGGAGGAAUGGCGGCCGUGGGCAGCCUGCUUGGCCUGCUGAGGCAGAGCACCGUGAAGGCCACCGAACCUGCACUCCGCCACCUGCACACAUCCUCCUGGCAGGCCGACAGCAGCAGGGCCUCACUCAGUCGUGUGAACCGCCAAGCUUAUGCACGACUCUACCCUGUACUGCUGGUGAAGCAGGAUGGCUCCACCAUCCACAUCCGCUACAGGGAGCCGCGGCGCAUGCUGGCGAUGCCCAUAGAUCUGGACACCUUGUCUCCUGAGGAACGCCGGGUCAGGCUGCGGAAGCGUGAGGCUCAGCUCCAGCCGAGGAAGGAGUACAAGCAAGAGCUCAGUGAUGACUUUCAUGUGGAGCACUACCAACAGUUCUGGAACAGGACCAAGAAGUGACCGUGGCUCCAGCCACCCCGGGACGUUGAUAAGAUGGGAGGGCUGUUCUUAAAUCACAUAUUCUCGAAGCUGCCACCUGGAGUCUGUGUCUGUCCCCACACUUGGUGUGAGCCCCAGACUGGCAGCUCGUCCCCUGAAAGGCACGAGCUCAAGCACAGAGAGGGCUUAGUGGACUAGCAGGGUGAGGGUUGGUUUAGAUCAAACCUGUGGGCUUUGGACACUGCUCUGGGGCUGUGGUGCCCACGAACAACUGUGUAGGCAGUACCCAAUACCUCCAAGCUCUAAGCUGUGCCUUCCCAGCCUCAGAGGCACCAAGGCGACUGCCCUCCUGACAGCACAGUGGCCCUCAGGUUGGUUCCUAGGAGGGCCUGGGUGUUCUGGGACUCAGGCAUCAACCUUGGUGGGGCAGCCCUAGGACCAUCUGGACCACAGCCUGCAGCUCCCUGCCCUGGCCCUGCAUUCCCAGGCUGCCCCAGGGAAGGUCCUGCCCUGGGAGGGUCCCCAGAGGAGCAGCCAGCCCUGGUUGUCCUUGACUGCUAAUGGGGUCUGAAAAGCACAACCCAGGGAGAUCCACAGACCCUGCUCCAUCUGUCCAGAGGCUGAUUUCACUUAGGACCAGCUCCAGCUGAUGUGCAGGUACUUUCACACACACAUCAGCCCAGGUUUUGGACAGCUCAGGGCCCGGACUGCUUCCUGUCCCUGUCCUGGGGUGUUACUGGGUCCCAGCUGGCAGGCUGUCUCACUGACACCUGGAGUGCCCAACAAACACUUCUUGCAGUGGUGUUCUGGGAUUGCCAGGCAGGUCAGAGUGUGCUGUCGUGCCCCUGUGAUGACAGUGCUUGUAACUGAGGAGCCUGGGCAGUGUCCGCACCUCACAGGCCCUUCCCUUGUCCCUUAAGUUUGUUCCUGGCCCUCUGCUCAUCCUGCCGGCCUUCAGCUCUGCUGAGAAGAGCCUGCAAGGGAUGUCCCCUGUCCCUGUGACCCAGCAGUGCCUGACCUCACAUGGAUGGGCUGUGUGGCCGCCUGGGACUCUGCCUUGCAGGGUUACUUCCUGAGCAGCCUCCCUGGAGCCCCCGUCUCUGAAGUUGUGGCUCAAUCCCUGUGGCAUAUAGAGCCAGCUGCCCGGCCACACUGUGCAGUCACUUGGCCCCCUCCUCCAGUGUACCCAGCCUCCUCCCUCUAUAGUGGGUUCCCCUGGGAACUCCACUGCCCCUCUACUUACUCCCUCACCUCCACCCUCCUGGGUCCAGCUUUGCUGCUGUCACAGAGGACACCACUGUGAUCAGUGCCCCCAGCUGGGACUCCACCCAGCAGGCACAGGCCAUGCAACCUCCACUGCGGUGACCCCUCCUCCUGUGGCCUAUGGCUUGUCAGGCUAAUGGGCCCAAAACUAACCAGGUCUUCCCCAGAAACCUGGUCCUCUUGUUGACAGGUGGCUGCUUCAUCCUCACAGUUGCCCAGACCAGAGCCUCAGAGCUGUCCUGGACUCUUCCCCAACGUCCACCUGGCCCUGCUAUCCCCUCUCCACCACACCUGAUAUCCAGUCAGUGUUCACACUCCACAGCCGGGCCCUGCCCACAUGGCCGAAGUCCACCCUGGCCUGGCAAGCCGCAAUUGCACCCAGGAGUUGAUGCCCUACACCCAAGGAAGCCUUCCCAGGAGUGGGCCAGUCACCUUCUGUGUGCCAGGCUGUGGCCUGCUGCUCUGCCCUUGCCAUGCACCUGCUCCAUGAUGCAAGCUCACACAGCACCUCAUGAGAGAGAUGGCAGCCGGUACUUGCUAAGUAGAUAGAUAAGCCAGAUGGGCUGUUUGCCAGGCUGCUCUAACAGCCUGACCCAUGGACUGGGUCACUAAGAAACAGAAAUUUCCCACAGUUCUGGACACUAGACCUGUGUUUCAUCCAGUUCAACCUGUGGCUGGAAUUGCCCCAAAAGUGGUGGCAGUAGAGUUCCCACAAGGGAGUGCCCCACACCAUGCUGAGAUGGGGCUGGUUAGGAUUCUACAGAAAGAUUGAGCAUGCCAGGGUAAUGCACCGAGAGCAUUUAUUAGCAGGGAUUUUGUACAGAGUGGGCUGCAGCAGUUCUUGCAACGGGUGGUGAGAGAAAUGAAUGUUCUCUCUAGGUAUGUCCAUGGGGAGGGGGUUGUCGAAUGGAGUUUAUAUGAGGGUUUAAGGAAUCUGGCUCAGGCUGGGUCCAGUUUCUUUCUGUGUUUUGAGCAACAACCUAGAUGCUGUCAUCUGUGCCUGGGAACGUUCAUGGCUAUGGCUCAGGUUCAAGUCUGCAGACGAAAUUAUACCGUUGGCGAGGUCACA
ensembl:lncRNA